CUAAUUCCAACCAUUUGAACUUGGCGACACAUGGUUCAUCAUAUCUGGUGUUUAUGUCUGCAGUGGUGUGGUGUUGUGUAGGAGCAGAGAGCAGACGAGUUUCCUCUGGGGAGCAGUACGACAUGUCAGGACACGCUCAGAUCCCGCAUGGCUGCAGCUGCUGCACGGCUGCAUGGCUGCAUGGCCGCAGCACUCGGUCAGUCUAAACAGGUGUUUAUCUCAGCACCUCUCCUCAUGUUGUCUGAAAAUGAAACUGUGAGACCGGUGUAGCAGAUCAGUGAGCAGAGCACUGGGCAUGCUCUGUUCUUUCAGAUAUGGACCAGUUCACCAUAAUGGGCAAAACGGCAUCCCAGUAUGAUGAAUGGGGACAGCUCUACCCUUAUCAUUGCCCUCACAGUGCACAUUUCCAGUGUGAACUGUGAGAGAGACUUCUCAACUAUGAAUAGGGCGAGACAGACCUGAGAUGCAUGUUACUGAGCAUCAGCGGGCGAGUUUCCUGUGAACGAGCCUCAGAACUCUUUAAAAAAACAA